UAAUAUAUAUACACAUGCAGUAGUUUGGUAACAAUGGUAACAAAUUGGCUGUUAGCUCCAGGAUGGUGAAAGGAAGCUUUCCCCCCUAGAAUUAAAAACUACACUUAUUAAGAAAGAAAAAAUAAAUAUAAAGAUUGACUAAAUUACAGAUUCAGCGAAAAUGUAGAACUGAAAUCAAAUCCUUAAGAGGUUCAGUAGCAGCAGGUGCCAACUGCAGCUCAUUUAAAGGGUUGCAGCAUUAACUUCCUGCAACUUGUCAGGCUGUUAUUAUAUACGACUGAAGCUUUCUCUCGCGAGGUGGAAUUCGACAGCAAGCAUUAAAACUCUUGCGUGCAGAUUACUCCCAGCGAAUACACAGUAGGCUUCAUAAGCUUCCACUACAAGAAACAGCUUUUUAUCUAAGUUUGCAGUCAAAAUAAGCAAUAUUAAUCUUAUCAAUUCUAUUACAGGAGAACACAGGAUUAUAAGAAAAAGAAAAGCAAUUCAGGAUUCUCUUGAACUUCUGAAAAUAAAACAUAAUAAAACACAAUGCAUUAUAAUCUUUUCUUUUUGAAUCUUCUUCUAGCUGUCUAGGUACGGUGUCUGAUCCCUCGUUGUCCUCUUCUAAACACUCAUAUUCAAAUCUUUGAUUUUCCGUAUGUCUACUGACGGUUAAAUUAAUAAUUGGUUGUGGUGUAACUUUAUAUUUAUUAUUAUUUAUUUGCUGAGAACCAGUAUUAGGGCGUAGGAAGAUUCUUGUAAUUCCAUCCCGUAUGUUCCAGUGUAUCACAACAAAUUUUUCAGUUGCUCAGUUAGGGUGGGUGAGUCAGUACAUGAGUCAGUGCAUGAUUCAGUAAAUGGUGAAUGAGCCGUUUAUUUUGAAUUGUUUUAAAACAGAUCCGUUCUGAGACCGGACUGCGUUGCUCUGGUGCCUGUGUUGUAUGACUGUAAACUCAAUUAUCCGACAUAGAUUAUAGCCUAUAAUUUGGCAACAUUCUCAACAAAUUCACCUUCAUCAUUUUCUGCUGAAUAAACCUUUUUUUUAAAGUGA